AUGGCGGCACAGAGUAGAAUAUUGGUUACGUUUUAAGGGAGGCAGGGAUUUUAGGCAGGAUUUGAUUCAUGAUGUGUGUGUAGAUAUUAAUGUUAGGGAACAAUGUGAGAGUGUACGUUUUAGUAGGAAAACGUAUUACGUGACCCACACUCCGGAACAGAAGAGGGCGGUAAUGCACCAAUAAGCUGGAUGCCAACCGCCGUUAAACUGGAAAGAAGACGAAUAUGACAGCUUGCUGUGAGAGACAACGGGACAGAUGAGACACAUAUGUGUUUAUCUGCUGUAGAGUAACUGAUGAAGGAAUGCUGCCAUCAAAGGAUUUGUAUCUUUUGUGGUGGAGCAGGACCUGCAAGGAAAGAUGAAAAAGAGGGAAAACCUGAAACAAAAGAAUAAUGUAAUGACUUUUUGUAUUGUGUAUGUGUAUUUUUGUAGGACAUGAAAAUGUCUGUAGACUGGUGUGUGGACUGAGGAUGGAGAAGACUACAGCAUCAUCCUGGAAAUGAUCGAGAGUCACAAAUGAGACGCUUUAUCACUCCAGCUCUUACUGUCUCAUCAGGACCAGAUGCUGCUCUGGUGUCUUCAUCCUUAGUGACCCCAGAGCCAGUGAGAGCAUCUAGAGAAAGACCACAAGACACUGAGGAUGUGAUUUUGGUAAUGUUUGUUCAGCUGGUUAAUGUUUAAACAAUGAAGGCCGACUUUCAGAAGCUUCAAAAGCAUCAUCAAAAAAUGUGAUGGAGCUUUUAUCUGAAGUGAUUGACAGUGCUCUUAUUACAGGGGCCUUCAAUCCCCUGAUCAACCUGGAGAAGAGAGCCUUGCUUAAGGACACACUGGUGUUCCUGUGGCUCAAGUGGUAGAGCAUUGCGUUAGCAGUGCAAGGUUUUGGGUUCGAAUACCAGGGAACACAUGUUAGGUAGUCGUGCUCAUGGGGUGCAGGCACAUGAAAGUUCGGAGCAGACACAGCGGUCAGAUUGUCCUGCACGUGUUCUUCUGCUCUUGCUUCAAGGUUGUGUGGUUCAGAGAGCCGUCAUCAUGGUCUUCCUCAUCCUGUUGCUCAA